GAAGCGGUGAUGCAGCUGAAACAGCAGCUUAGUCCUCACAUAGUCUAGAGGCGUCCCCCAUCCCACACAAGUCUGAAGUCCACAUGUCCACACUCUGAGGUGUGUGUGUGUGUGUGUGUG